CAUAAAUAAUUCAGAACACAUGCUUUAUGUCAACUGUUUCACUGUUACUAUUUUAUCUCUAUAAACAGGGCAGAGGCAAAUCCCAUCCAAACAAGGAAGGGGAGGAAGAUGCAUUGCAAAAUUAUGGCUGGGUCACAUGAGUCAAGCAUACAUCCACAGAUCCAUUUCUGACUGGAAGGCCCAGCUCAGAAACGGGGUGCCUGCAUUUUAGUGCUUGUACACUGUGAGUUGCUGAAUGCCCUUACAGGAAGCUUCCAGGAAAAGAGAACUUUAAAAACAUGAGCAGAAAACGCCAGGCGAAAGUUGUAACCAGCUCUCAGCGUCUGUGGUGCGACAGCCAACAAAUAAUCACCUGCUGCUGAUUUACAGAUUCCUGGGAGGUGUGGUGCUGAGUCUCAAAGAACUGGAACAAGAACAACACCCAAUAUGCUUCUCGGCAAACAGUGUAAUGUAUCCACCUGCUUCGCGCUCUCCUAAUUUAGGCCAUGUGGAGUGUGUAAUGAUGAACUGGCCAACUGGUUAUGUUGCUGUAGAUCUCAUUCCCCACCUUACAAAACACCCCCGGCUGACCCCGUCUUUCAUGAAAGCUCAGCCCAGGGUUUCCAGUCUACCUCUUGGGAGGGAGACAGCUCACAUCAACCCUUCACAAACACACCUCUCUAGAGAGAAAAACACAAUGUUGUGUUGUUUUUAUUUUGUUGGGCAGCUUUUUCAGGUUCUGUAACCCACUUUUCCUUCCCUUUAAACUGUGACCAGUAUUUAUUUAUCCCUUUUUACACACAGCAAUUUAAUUAAGAAACUAAUCAGCGGUGUUGAAAUGAUCCUUGAACUACACCCCUAUCACUGAAGGAAAUUUAUGAAUGCAUUAUACAAGAAAGAUCCUAUUAUCUAAAAAGCUUUCCACUAAAAUGAUUUGGCAUCUGAAAAGUAAGACCUGAAAUUCUGCACUACAUUUAUAAUGUAAAGAUGUGAACAUUAUUUAUAGAGUCUGAAAGGUAUUCCAACUGAUUCUGACAAGUUUGUCAGGAUUGUUUAUUAAAAAUAAAACUGCUCCGUGUUCAAAGGA